UACGGAGGGUGCAAGCAUUAAUCGGAUUCACUGGGCGUAAAGGACGCGUAGGCGGAUCAACAAGUCAAAUGUGAAAUUCCGGGGCUCAACCUCGGAGCGGCAUUUGAAACUGUAGAUCUAUAGAGGGAUGGCGGAGAAAAUGGAAUUCCACAUGUAGCGGUGAAAUGCGUAGAUAUGUGGAAGAACACCAGUGGCGAAAGCGGUUUUCUAGCUAUUUCCUGACGCUGAGGCGUGAGAGCAUGGGGAGCAAACAGG
rnacentral:rRNA from 1 species